rnacentral:rRNA from 1 species
GACGAACGCUGGCGGCGUGCCUAAUACAUGCAAGUAGAACGCAGUUGCGAACGGGUGAGUAACGCGUAGGUAACUGCCUCAUAGCGGGGGAUAACUAUUGGAAACGAUAGCUAAUACCGCAUACUGUGAGAUGGACCUGCGUUGUAUUAGCUAGUUGGUGAGGUAAAGGCUCACCAAGGCGACGAUACAUAGCCGACCUUGGAGGGUUGUCGGCCAAACUGGGACUUGAGCACGGCCCCGACGCCUACGGGAGGCAGCCGUAGGGAAACUUCGGGAAUGGGGGGAAAGCUGACCGCGCAACGCCGGGGGAGUGGAGGAGGGUUUCCGGUCGGUAAGCUCUGUUGUUAGAGAAACGGUAACUAACCAGAAAGGGACGGCUAACUACGUGCCAGCAGCCGCGGUAAUUC